rfam:Clostridium sp. CAG:813 genomic scaffold, scf50
UCCCAGAUCGUCUAGUGGCAGGACGAAAGAUUCUGGCUCUUUUAACGAUGGUUCGAAUCCAUCUCUGGGAG